GAUGAACGCUGGCGGCGUGCCUAAUACAUGCAAGUCGAGCGAACAGAUAAGGAGCUUGCUCCUUUGACGUUAGCGGCGGACGGGUGAGUAACACGUGGAUAACCUACCUAUAAGACUGGGAUAACUUCGGGAAACCGGAGCUAAUACCGGAUAACAUAUUGAACCGCAUGGUUCAAUAGUGAAAGGCGGCUUUGCUGUCACUUAUAGAUGGAUCCGCGCCGUAUUAGCUAGUUGGUAAGGUAACGGCUUACCAAGGCAACGAUACGUAGCCGACCUGAGAGGGUGAUCGGCCACACUGGAACUGAGACACGGUCCAGACUCCUACGGGAGGCAGCAGUAGGGAAUCUUCCGCAAUGGGCGAAAGCCUGACGGAGCAACGCCGCGUGAGUGAUGAAGGUCUUCGGAUCGUAAAACUCUGUUAUCAGGGAAGAACAAAUGUGUAAGUAACUGUGCACAUCUGGACGGUACCUGAUCAGAAAGCCACGGCUAACUACGU
rnacentral:rRNA from 1 species